rnacentral:rRNA from 1 species
UACGUAGGUGGCAAGCGUUGUCCGGAAUUAUUGGGCGUAAAGCGCGCGCAGGUGGUUUCUUAAGUCUGAUGUGAAAGCCCACGGCUCAACCGUGGAGGGUCAUUGGAAACUGGGGAACUUGAGUGCAGGAGAGAAGAGUGGAAUUCCACGUGUAGCGGUGAAAUGCGUAGAUAUCUGGAGGAACACCGGUGGCGAAGGCGGCGAUGCC